rnacentral:rRNA from 1 species
GUGAACCAUACCAAACUGUUGCCUCGGCGGGGUCACGCCCCGGGUGCGUCGCAGCCCCGGAACCAGGCGCCCGCCGGAGGGACCAACCAAACUCUUUACUGUAGUCCCCUCGCGGACGUUAUUUCUUACAGCUCUGAGCAAAAAUUCAAAAUGAAUCAAAACUUUCAACAACGGAUCUCUUGGUUCUGGCAUCGAUGAAGAACGCAGCGAAAUGCGAUAAGUAAUGUGAAUUGCAGAAUUCAGUGAAUCAUCGAAUCUUUGAACGCACAUUGCGCCCGCCAGUAUUCUGGCGGGCAUGCCUGUCCGAGCGUCAUUUCAACCCUCGAACCCCUCCGGGGGGUCGGCGUUGGGGAUCGGGAACCCCUCAGACGGGAUCCCGGCCCCGAAAUACAGUGGCGGUCUCGCCGCAGCCUCUCCUGCGCAGUAGUUUGCACAACUCGCACCGGGAGCGCGGCGCGUCCACGUCCGUAAAACACCCAACUUCUGAAAUGUUGACCUCGGAUCAGGUAGGAAUACCCGCUGAACUUAAGCAUAUCAAUAAGCGGAGGAAA